GGUAGGUCCCAGCCCGCGCCCGUCCACGAAGACAAACAAGACACGGACGGGUUCCAGCGGGCUAGGGGACGAAUAUACCGGCUAGGAGACAGCCGGCGAGGUCCCAGCCCGCGCCCGUCCACGAAGACAAAUGCGACACCGACGGCGACUGAGAUGGACGGCGUUCCAGCGGGCUAGGGGACGAAUAUACCGGCUUGGAGUCAGCCGGUUACGUCUCCACUCUUGUUCGUUGUUGACUGAUAUUUCAUUAUCCUGUUUUGCUUUACCUACAUUGUAUAUAACAACACUUGCACCAAUAUAUUCAUGCUUUAACAUUUAUCCAAUCGUCGCAUCCACUCUUCUGUACCAAGCAUUUUCAUUUGACAUAACAUAUUUACACAACACAAACAUCUGUUUCCCAAAAUCCAAUCUCUGGGU
rnacentral:lncRNA from 1 species